UACAACUGUUCCACUUCAACCGCGAUUCCUGGCUUCCUUGGACAAGCUGAUAGAGUUGUUAGAGAGAAGACCCUGAGUAUACUGAAUCUUCUUGAUCAGAGCAUCGUGGUGAAUCAAAAAAGGGAGUGUCUGCUAAAACGCCUCAUUGUUUACCUUGGAGAAGAUGUGGACAAACUCAUCAAGGAGUAUCAGGUUGUUCAGAAGGAGGAAGCUGAAACGGAGCUUGAGAGAUGUACAAUGGCCAUGUAUGUCAUCAAGGAAGAGGAGGAUCCUCUCCAGCCACCACAUGACAUUGGGUUUGUUAUUGAAGGUGUGCAGGUUGUCAGUGAGUUGCCAUCAGUCCUACAUGCCUGUGCCAUGUUGUUCGGCCUCAUCUAUGCUCUUAACUUGAGCUAUCCAAGUGAGCUCAAAUACACCUUUGAUGCAUUGCAGAAACUAUUCAUGGAGAUAGAACCCAAGAAAAUGACACGCAGAGUGUGCAGUCUGAGUGUCAAGCUCUAAAUAUUGGAUUCACCAAAGAGAUAUUGGAUACCGGAUGUGUUUUAUUUUGUGUUAUUGCUUGUAUUCAAAUAUAUUCUAUGAUAGAGGAAGGGGCCACUGUUAAAUGUUAAUAAGAGAAACAGAUUUAAUUAAAAACUGGCCUUCAAUUCAGAUUUUCUGUGUUCACGGAACAGUUUCUGUGAUAUAAAUAUUUUGGCACUGAUAUCAACACUGAAGUUUGAAUAAUGCAAAGUUCAUAAUUGCAGCAAUAAGAAUGGUAAUGUUUUUUUUUUUUUUGCUAUUUUAUACCACUUUAAGCUUAUCAUACCACAUUAAUGUGGUCAUAGAUACGGAAAUGUUGAUAUUGCAUUUGUAAUGGUUCAAAAUAAUGUGACAUUCAUACAUCUUGAUCAUUUUGUCCCAAGGAUGGUAAGUUUUAAGACUGUUAGACUUAAUGGUUAUUAUAUUACAUAUCUCAAGUUUUAAUGGAGAGGCGUACAAAAAAGUUUAACAUUAAUGUUGUUAAUGUUACAGAAAGGUUACAUAAGAUUUAAAAUAAAGUAUUGAAAAGAC